UACGUAGGGCGCAAGCGUUGUCCGGAAUUAUUGGGCGUAAAGAGCUCGUAGGCGGUUUGUCGCGUCUGCUGUGAAAACCUAAGGCUCAACCUUGGGCUUGCAGUGGGUACGGGCAGACUAGAGGUGCGGUAGGGGAGACUGGAAUUCCUGGUGUAGCGGUGAAAUGCGCAGAUAGUCAGGAGGAACACCGGUGGGCGAAGGCGGGUCUCUGGGCCGUAACUGACG
rnacentral:rRNA from 1 species